UGCCUACAUUCCCGAUAUCCCACUGGAAAGUGAGCUGCUAGGACGUAGACGGCAUCCGUUCCGUCGCCGAGUGCCGAGUGGGCGGCGACUUGAGGGAAGAAAGACCGGGAGGGAGACGCCGGGCGACCGCGAAGGGAGAGGUCAAAAUGCCCUGGCUGCUGUUUUCACUGUUCCCGUGGCCCACUGGAAAAAGAAGCUGAAAUACAGGAUGUAGGUUGUCUAAUGGACCUGGAACGACGGAAAGCUGUCAAACUCCAGAUGAUGGUUUAGUUGGACCAUUCUAGCUGUCACUACUCUCCUUCGGAUGGCAAAGAAUCCUAGCUGUCACAUUCCUCUCUUCGACAUCCCUGUCCAGCAGGAAGAAGCCAGAAUGGUCUUCGCUCCUCCUCCUGUGGCAGCAAAGGGUUUCCUACCCCCACAAAAUGAUUUUCUCCAAGUCUGCUACAGCAGCUUAAGAAUCAAGAGGCGGGAAUGAGAAGGAAAGCUGGGAAGCUGGACUUAGGAUCCAUUUCUGCCUGUCUCCAAAGCCCUGCCUAUACCAAACAUCAGGCCACAGCCCUGUCUCCGUGCUGACUGCCUUUCUGCACUUCCUGCCAGCCACCCUCAUGUCUGGGCUUCUGGGUUUGUGUUCUUUGUCUGGGGCUGUUGAUGGACCACCAGGAGGUCCCUGGGUAUCCUGUCAGUGUUUCCCAGCCACUAGAGGAUGACUUGGGAUGGCAUCCCAGGUUCUGACACGUACUUAGAAAAUUCUGCACAGGCACCAGCAGGUAGACACCAAUGUGGAAAUGAAUUCUUUCCAGCCCAAUGGCCAAGAAAGAUUUUUUUUUUUAAUUUUUAAUGUUCAUUUUUGAGCGUGAGAGACAGAGCAUGAGUGUGGAAGGGGCAGAGAGAGAGAGAGAGACAGAAUCCGAAGCAGGUCCAGGCUCU